CUAGAAGUUUCCCAGAAAGCAAAUUAAUACAAGGGAUUAGGUACUUACAGGUUCUUGGGAGAGGCUGGAAGAGUGGAAGUUGGGGCUACCACUAAACUCUUGAGGUCAAGUUCUCACCACCAUAACUUUAAGCUAGAGGUUAAAAAGAUGCUGCUGCCAUGACUGCUUCCACUCCAAAGGCAAUUCAAUGCUGAAGUGUGGAAUCCAACCCCAAAUCCUCACAUCUUUAAUCAUUGCAGAAAUGACAGUGGUUCUGUUGCUGGAAAAGGAGUCCUGAUUCAGACCCGAAGAGAAGGUUCUUAGAUCUCGUGCAGAAAGGAAUUUAAGAAUCCCUAGCAACAUGUUAUAGACUCCUGGGAUUCUGUAGAGCCCCAGUGAAGAAACUCUGAUAAGUGAUGAAGAAUACACCAAGAUAAGAUUUAAAAGCUGCUUUCAAAAAUAGUGAAUACACUAGAAGAUUUUCAGAAGAAAAGAAUCAUUAAAGAAGGAGCAACUGCGUAUUGGCACAUACAAGCCUGAUUUGGGGCAGGGCAGUGCCUCUUCAUCCUGGCUCUCGAGAAAGGAGCCUGCUCAUAACCUGCUCAUAACCUGGAGAGACGGGGUUUCACCGUGUUAGCCAGGAUGGUCUCGAUCUCCUGACCUUGUGAUCAGCCCGCCUCGGCCUCCCAAAGUGCUGGAAUUAUAGGUGUGAGCCACUGCGCCCGGCCAUGUGUUGAUAGUUUUAUUAGGCAUUUUGCAUUGACAUUCUUGAGAUGUUCACCUAUGGUUUUGUAUUUUUUGAUGUGCUCUCUCAGAUUUAGGUGUUAAUGUGGAUUUUCAUUUAUACAUGCCUCUUUCUAUACUAUGAAAUCACUCAAGUAGCAUUGGAAUUACUUGUCUUUAAAAGUUUGGUAGAUUUUUUCCCCUAUAAAACUAUCUGGACAAGGUCCUUUUAUAGAUGGUUGUGUGUGUGCAUAGAGGGCGGGGUGGGUGAUGAGGUAGUGAGCUCUUUGACAACUUUUUCUUUUUCUAUUUUAAUUCCUCUUUAGGUUUUCUCUCUCUUUUAGUCAGUUUUGUAAAUUCUAUUUCUUAAAAAUUACCCAAUUUCUACCUUUGCUUCCCUGUUGUAUUGUUUUCACUGUGAAAAUCGUCUUCUAAAUUGUCCCUCUGCUUUCCAUUUCCCUCUCCACACCAAUUCUUCCACAGUGCUGCCAGAGUCCUAUCUCUAAAAUAUGACUCGGGUACUGUCAUUCUUUCACCCCAAGAAAAGCCACAAAAACCUUUCAAUGGCUCCUAGUUUCUCAUGGACAAAUUAAGACCAACUUGACUCCUAUGAGCUUUACUAUUACCUGGAGUAAUAGUAGGCAGUUUUGUCUCCUGGAGUCAUGUGUUUUACUUCACCUGAAGUAUCUUCCUUGUUUUCUUCUCUAUUCCUCAACUGCUGAAAUAUUUUAAGAUCUAGAUUCAUUGUGAGCUCCUGAAGUUACAGCUUGUGCCCUAUCAUUGUCAUAUCUCCAGUGCUGAUAUCUAGGACAUGCAUGCUCAUAACAUAAAAGUGGCCCAUACAUAUUUGCAGAAUCACAUUGGCUGUAUGUGAUACAUGUUUAUUGGAUGUGUGUGUGGUUGUUAGUGUGUUCCUUCAUAAGAUAAAUACAUCUGAAAGGUGUUUGUGUGGGGAGGUGAGUAUAGACAUGGUUUAUAGGUAUGGCCAAGGAUCUGGCUUCCUAGCAUGUCUGCUAUUUGAUCAAGGGUGACAAGAUUUCUCCCCCACCUAAAUAUCAAUACAGACACAUGUGCACACAUGCACAUACUAACAAGAACACUUCAGGAGGCUAGGAUAGUAAUUCAGUCAAUUUAUUAGUCUGAGUCCACUUAAAUGUCUGCCUGAAGUUGGUGAUCCCAGAGAAAGGUAAAAUGUUAGAGUUUUUUUUCUAAGAGCGCUACCAACCUUUUCCCAAGCAGCUUUCCUAAGCCAGAGAAUAUCUGCUAGUCUGUCCAUCAGCACUAAAUGAGCAUCUGAAUCAAGGCAGCUAGAGUCAGGCUAAUAAUUCCUGUUGGCAGCUUUUUUUCCUCUAAGGACGUAAAUCUGUGGUCUUAAGUACAACAUAGAGAGUUCAAAACGAAAUGCCGCAUAGAAAACCAAAUACUUCACUCUGCUUCUCGACAGUAUAAGACUCUGCCAGUAUUGCCAGGUAGCUACUACAGUAAGUGAGGGUGGCUUUCUAUUCUUUAUUGUUUAGACUCUCCAGGACUCUCUGCUUGCCUGGACAGUGAUGCUAACCUAGUGCCAAUAUUUGUACAAUAUUUGUUCACCUGGAGAAAAAAAAUAAAGAAAUUUUGUUUGAAAUAACAUUCAUAAUCAGGCCAUUUUAAGCUAAUGCUUUCUUUGGUUCCAGAGAUGAGAAAAAAAAGUAUAUGAGCUUCAUAGAUUCUCAACAUUUUACUUCCAUCAAAUGAAAUCACCUCAUCUUAAAAACUGUAUUCACAUGUUUUCAUACUCAUUCUACUUGAUAGUUCCCAUUGCAGCCUAGAUAAAUUGUGAUUGUGUUUUUUACAACUGAUUAAAAUCUAAAGUUACUAUAAAUGUGUACACUAGAAUUUGGAAAAUAUUAUUUUCUGGAGCUUAUAUGUCCUUUGUCUAGAAUAGAAAAAAAAAACACUAAUACAAUCUUCUUCUCAACUGAAAUUAUAUUUUGGCUUUUCAAUCUUAAUCUGUAUACUUUAGGAAAUUGUUCCUGUGUGAGUUCCAUAACAGAUAACAGAAAUAGUGUAUCCACGGUAACUCCUGGCAUCUUCCAGUGUUUUGUUCUCUCUUGUUCCCUUCACAGCCAUCUCAAUUCUUUUACUGCAGCUGCAUAAAUAUGUUUUACAGGUCUGACAUUCCCCCAAAGUCAUAUUAGAAUCCAAAUAAAAUCAUAUGAAUACAAUAGCAAUAAGAUCUUGAAACAGAGUAAUAUAUCAGUGGUAGAGCUAAAAAUGUUUCCUUUAGACUGUUGAGUCCAAAGAUUCUGCCUAUAACACUGUAAUAAAGGAAGUAGGCAAAUAGUGGUUUUGAACUUUCUUAGCACGGUAUGGCUGGCACUAUACAUUCUCAACAUUACACUUAUAAGAUAGAUGUUCAGGUUCUUGGGGAGAACAUCCUGCUUUGGUGAUUGAGUAUUGCAGAAGAAGUUUUGGUACAUGUAAGAGGGAGAAUCAGAGAGGGGCCGAUAUCGGGGGAGAGUUAGAGUAAAUCUGCGGGGCUGACUAGGAGGGCAGAAGGAAAAGAAACAACAAUGGGGGUGGAAGAGAAAGGGGGACUUGUGUCCUUGGGAUGGAACACAGCUCCCAGGGAAGCAGCCCCAAGUGGAGAUCUGCCCAGCUUGUUUCCAUACAGACCCGGGGCUCAGCUCUGGACUUGGCCAUUUACUUCCCCCUUGAGAAAGUUACUUCACUUUUCUGUAUUUUGUUCCCAUAUUUUAAAAUGAGAAAAAUAAUGCCCAUUUCCUGGGGUCCUGUGAAGAUUAGAAAAGAUAAACACAGAUAGCAUAUGUAAAACUCUCAGUCUAGUGCCUGGCAGAUAGUAAGCACUUGAAAAAUGUUAAUUUUCUUUCCUGUCUCUGGGUUACUUUCUUAUCCUCCUCCAAUGCCCAGGGGUUAAUGGAAAAAGGUUUCCAAAUGCAGAAUUGGAAAUCCAAAUGCAGAUUGUUUUCCCAUUUACUUUGUAAAUACGCCCCUUCGUGGCUUUUGUUCCAGUAGAGGCCAAACUGUGUUGAUGUAGACCCAAGAAAUUACAGGAGUGAAUGUUCAGAAGGAUCCUGGUAUUGUUCCCAGAAGAUAGUUGGGUUGGGUAAGUGGAGCCUAUUGUGAUUUUACAGGUGCUCAGUCUCACUGACUUGGUGAAAUGCACUUGAGCUGGCUGGAAGCCGUCAUCUUCAUAUAGAACACUUCAGGUAGACGGGUACUUCCUUUAGUUUCCACCAUCACCCUGGACUUUCUUGAUGGUGCAGCUUUACUGCCCCUCCCAGUGUAUGAGGUCAAGCUGUUUCUUUUAGCUCUUGGCAAAUGUGGUUUGCUUGAUUUUUAAUCUCAUUUUCUUCCUCUUCAUUAAGCCAAGUUUGACUCAUUCUUGAAACCUCAGAUCACCUGAUACUUAAUCAGGAAAACCUUCCCUGAUCCUCGUGGACCAGGCUAGGCCUACUGCUGUGCUAUCUUAGCACUCUGUACAUCUUUUUGAUAAUGCUUGCUACAAUGACACUAAAUAUUUGCAUAUAUAGUGAGCUCCAUGUCUUAUUCUCUAAUCUAUUUCUAGCACCUGGUACAGUUCUUGGAUCAUGAGAGGAGAAAAUAAAUGUGCAUUAAUCAAAUGCACACAUAAAUAAACUGACCAGUCUCAGAAAUGGUAGGCUAAGGUAUUAUGUGGCUCUUCAUUUAAGUUUAAUAUUGGCUUUAAAUUUACAACUUGGGUUUAGUUAAAACUCUGAAGCUUUUUGGAGUUUUAUAUGCAUUGCUCCCUUAUAUGCAUACGCAUUGCUGCUUGAGAUACACCUGUAUCUAUGGGAGGAGUUGUGGGGCAAAUAAUUAAAAUAAUAAUUAUUUUAGUUACAUAUGGGAACACAGGGUGAGAACUUCCCUUGUCUUCCUACCUUCCUAACUCAGAAUAAUUUUUUGUACUGCCUAAAAACAGUAUCAAGUUAUAAAAUAAACCAUUCUAAUUUACAGUUUAUAAGAAAGUGAAGUUUUAUCCAACUCAACAAACUUAAUUGAAUUAUUCUACUCUAGGCCAGUGGCUCUCAAACUUUAGUGCACAUUAGAAUCACCUGGAGAGCUUGUUAAAACUCUUAUUGUAUUUGACUGGGACCAACAGCACCCCAUUCUCAGGAACUGAUAGAACUACUAGAAAAGAUAUUAGCAAGGAUAUGCAACCGAACAACACCAUCAAACAAGAGGAUCUAAUGGCCAUUUAUAGAACAUUUCAACUGACAUAAACAGAAUGCACAUUCUUUUCAAGCACCAUAGAACAUUCAGAGAAUAGACUAUGUCCUGGGUCAUAAAACAAACAUUAAGCAAUUUAAAGAAUUAAAAUCACAAAGAAUGUGCUUUCUGAGUAUAAUGAAAUGAAGCUAGAAAUUACUGCAUGAAAGACAACUGGAAAAUCUCUAAGCACUUAGGAAUUAAACAACAUACCGCUAAAUAAUCCGAGUCAAAGCUAAAAUCUCAAAGGAAAUUAAAAAAUACAUAAAACUGAAUAAAAAUUAAAACACAUAUCAAAAUUUGCAAAAUGCAGAUAAAGCUGGGAUGAGGGCUCACUGCUUCCAUUAGAGAAGAAUGAUCUCACAUCAAUAAUCUAAGUGUAUUAGGGUUCUCCAGAGAAAUGGAACCAAUAGGAGAUCUAUCUAUUGAUCUCUCUCUGGAUAUAUAUAGUUAUCUAGAUAUCUGUGUAUCUAGAAAGAGAUUUAUUGUGAAUAAUUGUCUCUGAUGUAAUUAUUGAGGCUGAGCAGUCCCAUAUUCUGCCAUUUGCAUGCUGAGGACCCAGGAAAGCCAGUUCUGGUCUGAGUCUGAAGGCCUGAGAGCCCAGAGAAACCAGAGAAUCUGUGGUGUCAAUUCUAGCUCAAGUCCGAAGGCCUGAGAACCAGGAGUACCAAUGGUGUAAGCCUUAGUCCAAGGGCAGAAGACUGAUGUUUCAGCUCAAGCAGUCAUGCGGAGAGAAUUCUCUCUUCUAUCUUUUUGUGCUUUUCAGUCCUCAGUGGAUUAGAUGAGGCCCACCCACACUGGGAAGGGCAAACUUCUUUAUUUUACUUCUGCUUUAGGACCUGCAGAUUUAAAUGCUAACCUCCAGAGAAAUCCUCAAAGACACACCUCGACAUAAUAUUUAACCAAACCUCUGGGCGCCUUGUGACCCCAUCAAGUUUACACACAAAAUUAACCAUCAUCCUAAGUUUCUACCUCAAGAAAUUAGAAAAAUGAGUAAAAAUAAACCCAAAGCAAGCAGAAACAUGGGCAGCAGAUAUCAAGAUAGCAGACAUCAGUGGAAUUUAAAAUAGGAAAACAUUAGAAAAAAUUAAUGAAGCAAAUCCCUCUCUUUUUUUUAAAAUCAAUGAAAUGGAUAAACCUCUAGUAAGACUGACAAAGAUAAAAAUAGAGAAGAAGGCCAGGCAUGGUGACUCAUGCCUGUAAUUCUAGUACUUUGGAUGUCAAGGCAGGAGGAUUACUUCAGCCUAGGCGUUCAAGACCAGUCUGGGCAAUAUAGUGAGGCCCUGUCUCUACAAAAAAUAAUUUAAAAAAAUAGCCAAGCAUGGAGGCAUGCACUUGUAGUCCUAGCUACUUGGGAGGCUGAGGUGGGGCAUCGCCUAGGUCUGGGAGGUUGAGUCUGCAGUGAACUGAGAUUGUACAACUUCAUUACGGUGUGGGUGACAGAGCAAGACCUUGACUCAAAAAAACAAAAAAAAAUUAAGAAGAAAAAAAUCACCAAUAUCUGUGUUGACAAGAGAUCCCAUUAUACAUCCCACAGCCAUUAAAAGGACAGUCCAGGCUUACUAGGAACAACUUUAAACUAAUAAAUUCAAACAACUUAGAAAAAAUGGACUAAUAUCUCAAAAACCACAAUCUACUAAAAUUAAGCCACGAUGAAGUAGAUAACAUGAAGAACACUUUAAUAACUAAGUAAAUUGAAUUUGUCAUUUAGAAAUUCUUUGAAGAGAAAUAUCCAGGCCCUUUUUUUGUAGGAUUUUUACCAAAUAUUUAAAAAAUUAAUAUAAAUUUUACAUAAUCUCUUCUAGAAAAUUAAGGGAGCAUGUUUCAGUUCAUUUUAUGGGGCCAAUAUUACCCUGAUGCUAAAACUAGACAAGUACCCCUAGAAGAAAACAAACCAACAUCUUUUGUGAACUUCGAUCUAAAAUUCCCCAAGAAAAUCUUAGCAAAUCAAACCCAACAAUGUAUAAGAAGAAUAAUACAUCACAUCCAAGUGGAAUGUAUUCCAGGUUACAAGAUUGGUUUAAUAUCUGAAACUCAAUCAAUGUAAUACACCAUAUCAACAGACUAAACAAUAAAAAUCACAUAAUCAUAUCAGAAAAGGUAUUUGGCAAAAUUCAGCUGUUAUUUAUGAGAAAACUCAGUACACUAGGAAUACAGUACUUCUUCAAACUCAUAAAGAGCAUGAACACAAAACUUCAGUUAACAUCAUACUUUUGCCACUAAGUUAAGGAUGUCUGCUCUCACCACUGUUCUAUUAAACGUCAUGCCUGAAGUUCUAGUCAGUGAACUAAGCCAAGACAAGGAAAGAAAAUGCAUAUAGAUUAGAAAAGGAGAAAUAAAACUGUCUCUAUUUUCAGAUGACUUGAUUGUCUACAUAGAAAAUCCCAAGUAAUCUACAAAAAUAAACAAAACUCCUAUAAUUAAUUGAAUUCAAUAAGGUCACAGAAUACCAGAACAGCAUAGAAAAAAUAAUUGUUUUUCUGAAUACUGACAAUAAAUAAGUGGAAACCAAAAUUAAAAAUGCCAUUUAUAGUUGCUCCAAAGAAAAUGAAAUACUUAGGUUAAAUCUAACAAACAUGUACAGGAUUGGUUUGAUGACUAUUAUAAAAUGCUUCUGAAAAACAUCAGAGAAGUCCUAAAUAUUUGGAGAGACACGUGUUCACGGAUUAGAAGACUCAGCAUAGGAAAGAUGUGAAUUCUUUCUAAGUUGAUUGUUAGACUUAAUGCAAUUCCUAUAAAAUCUCAGCAAGGUUUUUUUUGUAGACAUAGAAAAGCUUAUUCUAUUUAGAAAGAGAAAGGUUGUAGAAUAAACAUGAUUUUGAAAAAGGAUAAUAAAGUAGGAGGAAUUACUCCUCCCUUGUUUUGUCUUGACAUCAAAAGCACAAUACAUAAAUAUGGGAAAACUGGUAAACUGAACUUCAUCAAAAUUAAAAAACUUUUGUUCUGCUUAAGACCCUGUUAAAAGGAUCAAACAUAAAUUACGGAUGGGGAGGAAAUAUUUUCAAGGCACAUAUUUAACAAAGGUCUUGUAUGUAGAAUAUAUAAAUAAAGCUUUAAAGUUCAACAGUAAAAAAAGCAAACAAUCCAACCAGAAAAUGGGCUAAUAACAUACACAGACAUUUCACAGAAGAGGAUAUACAAAUGGCAACUAAACAGAUGAGAAGAUGCUCAAUAUCAUUAGGCAUUAGAGAAAUUCAAAUUAAAACUGCAAUGAGAUAUCAUUCCACUCCUAUCAGAACAGCUAAAAGCUAAAAGUAAAAAGUAGUGAUAAAUGCCACUGGCUGAUGUGAAUGUGGAGAAACUAGAUCACUCAUGUAUUGCUGGUCAGAAUGUAAAAUGGUACAGCCACCCUGGAAAAUAGUUUGGUAGUUUCUUUUACAGUUAAAAAUGGACAUACCCCUUUUUAAUGAUUCAGGAAUUACAUUCUCAGGAAUAUACUCCAGAGAAAUAAAAACCUAUUUGUACACAAACUUUUCUAUGAAUGUUUUUAGCAGCUUUGUUCUUAAGAGCUCCAAAUUAGAAACAACCUAAACUAUCCUUCAAUAGAUGAAUGGUCAAAUGACCUGCUGUAUGUCCAUAUCAUGUGUCUUAGUUUGAUCUGCUGUAACAAAAUACUGUAGACUGUGUAAUUUGUAAACAACAGAAAUGUGUUGCUCAUAGCUCUGGAGGCUGGGAAACCCAAGAUCAAGGUGCCAGCAGAUUCAGUGUCUGGUCAGGGCUUGCUCUCUGCUUCAUAUACCUUCUACCUGCAUCCUCAGAUGGUAGGUAGGAAGGGUGAACUAACUCCCUCCAGAAGCCUUUAUAAGGACACUAAUCACAUUCAUGAGGUUGGAACUUCAUGACCUAAUUCAUUAUUCUCAUAGGUCCUAUCUCUUAAUACUGUGGCAUUGGGAAUUAGGUUUCAAGAUAUGAAUUAUGGGAGGACACAAACACUCAGACCAUAGCACCACGGACCACUAUUAAAAGUAGAAAUGAAUGGACUAUUGGUACACACAACUUGAAUGAACCUCAAGGAAUUUAUGCUAAGUGAAAAAAAGCACAUACACUACAUGAAAAAGUAUGCAUACUGCAUGAUUUCACUCAUGAAAUAAUAUAGGGAACAUAUUAGUAAUUUCCAGGAGUUCAGGAUGGGUAUAGCUAUAAAGGGGUGCCACAGGGGAUCUUGUGAUGGUAUGGUUAAAUAUACAUACAUAUAUAUAUAUAUAUAUAUACACACACACACACAC